AGGUUAAGUAAGAAAGGGCGCACGGCGGAUGCCUUGGCACUAGGAGCCGAUGAAGGACGGGACCAACACCGAUAUGCUCUGGGGAGCUGUAAGUAAGCUAGGAUCCAGAGAUUUCCGAAUGGGGAAACCUCGCAUUUUUUAUCGAAUGCGGCUUGACCUGUGAAUAGAUAGCAGGCAAGCGGAAGACGCAGUGAACUGAAACAUCUUAGUAGCUGCAGGAAGAAAAAGAAAAAUCGAUUCCCUGAGUAGCGGCGAGCGAAACGGGAACAGCCCAAACCAGGAUGCUUGCAUUCUGGGGUUGUAGGACGUUUAUUCACGGAUAGAAAUGUUAGCCGAAGGCUUUGGGAUAAGCCGCCGAAGCGGGUAAGAGCCCCGUAGGCGAAAAUGUUUCUGUCCGCAAACGGAUCCUGAGUACGACGGGACACGCGAAAUCCCGUCGGAAACCGGGAGGACCAUCUCCCAAGGCUAAAUACUCCCUAGUGACCGAUAGUGAACCAGUACCGUGAGGGAAAGGUGAAAAGCACCCCGGAAGGGGAGUGAAAGAGAUCCUGAAACCGUGU
rnacentral:rRNA from 1 species